UAUCUUGGAAUAUCUGAUGGAGAUGAUGGUUAUAUUUAUUCCCCGUUAGGCUCGGUUAGCCUUGGUGGUUUUCCGGGUUUAGCAUAUAUAUAUAUAUAUAUAUAUUAAGAGUAUGAGUGAUUGGCGGGUAUUGUGGAGGUGAUGUUUAAGAUAGAUUCACAUGGAUGGAUUGAGAGGCCUUAUAAUUAUAUUAAUUAUGGAAUAUAAUUCCACUGCAUUCAAAUGGUGUCGCUUGCUCGGGAUACUAUUGAUAUGUGUUUGGGUGUGGGAUUAGACUCACUGAGUAAACUAGUUACUCAUGACUCAUUUGAUAUGCAGGUAACCAGUAGGUGGGAGACCUUUACUCUAGGACGGGAAGGAACGGCAUUAGCCAGCGGUAGUUUUAUUAUCCUUGCAGUCGUUUUGAUAUACUUUAUGUAUAAGGUUUGUUGACCGAAAACCUCGAGGUUAAUCUAUAAGAUUUUGUAAGAUUCUUUUAAAUGAAUAAGUAUAUAGUGUAUAAAGAAUGUUUUUAAAGUACGGGUUCCAAAUGAUAUUAGUCCUUGUCCGGACGAACCAACUAUUGGGUAUUACUCUUAAGGUUGUAAAGCCUCGGGUUGUACCUAAUAGGAUAUGUGUACUUAGGCGGUUGGCCUAAGGUACCUGGAUUCAUUUCGGGAACUUCGGGUUAGUCGUUUAUGUACACAUUGUGGCUUCUCGGUUUGGUUUCAGUUACGAGUGAUCGGCUGUGCAUGUUCUUGUUUGAUUGUUGCACGGCUGGUCGAGUCAACUUAUACUUAGACCAGAUCGGGGGUGUCACAAAGGUGGUAUCAGAGCAUGGUUAUACGAUGCUUGAAUGGGACUUGUUUCAAACGUUUUUCGAGUCAAAAUGAGUCGCAAGGAUAAUUAGGAUGUGCUGGCUAGUUCCUUCAUCUUAGGAUAGAUAGUCAUGGGUAGUUACCUUACUGUUAUCUUUCAUACGAGAUGCAUCAAGACAAGCUCGACGGAGUGGAGUGUUCUUACCAAUUUUGAUCCUGUCAAGAUCGAGAUUCCUACAAUCAUGAUUGAGCUUUCUACCGUCAUGAUUCGGUUUGUUAUCGUCAUGUUUUGGUUCAAUCCGGUCAUGGUUCAAUCCAUUAUCAUCAUGCUCGGGUGAGCUAACGACGUGCUCAUGUUUGCUACCAUCAUGCUCGGAGUUGGUAUCAUCAUGCUUUCCCGCGGUUCCAACAAUUUCUAGUGUGGAUACCGAUAUUCAAAGAUAUAUGAGACAGAGUUGACACAUCAAUUACAUCUUCGGCCCAUGUUUUAUUGAAGUCAAAGUUGACGUUGUUGGUUAUGAUCCGGUUCAGAAUAUCCGACUUCAUAUGACUUAUUCUUUCGGCUGCUCAGUUCAAUCCAGCUUAUGCCCAAAUGUACCAGAACCAGAGACGUACAAGCCUGAUUGAUUCAGCACUUGUUUCAAUCUUAACGUUGGUGGCGGAGAUAGUUCAGCAGUAGUACAAGACGAUGGACGCACCAGCACCAUUCAGUUGCAACAAGACAUCUUGAAGUUUGUGAACAAGAUAAAGAAGUUGGGACAACACCGACAAGUACUAAACCAUUUGAUGUAGAUUUUGUAUAGAGGAAGAUUUCGAAUGCAACACUAGGAGCAGAACAACUAACAUGGCCCAUUGUUCACAAAAUUGCAAGAAAUAUAUUGAACCAUACAUCAUCAAGAAUGAUACAGUAAGUUGGUGAUUAAGCGUCAAGCAUCAUUUGGGAAAUGUUAGUCCAAGUUAGGCGGAUUUCUUUCAAGAGUUCAAGAUGGAGUGUUUUCUACCCAAAACAUGGGACCGAGAUGGAGUUCGCACAGUGAGAUGUUUCCGCCAAGAUUUUGAAGUCAAGUUAAUCUGAUUUAUCCAUUAUGGUUUGGAGGAUGAGGUAAAGAUCAUGAAGAUGUACUAUUGUGACUUAGCCAUUAAUCUCAGAGUAACCCAAACUAUAAAGCUUAAGAGCUAUGAGGAGUUGGUGGAGGAUCACAUGAAUUCUAUAGAAGCCGUUUUUACUGAAGAAGUUUACCAAGUCAUGCAGAUUAUUUAACUAUCAACCUAUUCAGAUAGAAGGUCAGUUUCAAGUAAUGAAUCAAGAAAGUCGAUGGAGAUAAUUUUUGUUGGACGUUUCAUCAGAUCAAGACCGAGGACCCUGAGUUGUUUUGGUUUUGGCUAGAAAGGAGAGUAAGGUGAUGAUUGUUCAAGAAUAUAAAAUCCUCGAUCGCUUACGUCAUUUGCGCUUCGGUGGUGCCAGUAAUGAGUACAGAGGUUAUCCUACCAUGGCCCAUGAAGUUACCCGAUCUUUUUACCUAUACCUAGGGUACCGCUUGUUUAACUUGUUCGCUUUCCUUACCAUUAGUCACUAACUAAGUGUUUGGCUAUUUGGGUAGAGCCUACACUUUAUAGUUGCCUGGACCGUCAAAACCUCUGAAAAGGUCCAAUCACAGGUUUGCUUCUUAUCCCAUUGCGUGUUGUGUGCAUUUUAAAAAUUGAUGAAUGAUUAAAUAAAUUAGUGAAGGAGUGAUCAAGGUGUCGUAUGAGACCUUGCCUAUGGACGGAAUUUUCCGCCCAUAUUGUGUUUGAUGCGGGAACAACACAUAGAUGUAGUUCUCGGGUAGUGUCAUUGUUCUAGGAAGGAUUCACUUUAGUGAAUUCAGGUACACUGUUCUUAUUCGUGGAAGUACUGGCUGCCAUUUAGAGUUAUGGUAUGCCUUCGUAUCCCAUCCCCAUUCCUUAGUACUUCCAUUAGAGCGGUUUGUUUCUAUCUAGAAUGAAGAUUGGCUAUCUAGUUAUCGAGCUCAAUUAGGAUGUUGUUGAGGAAGGAAGUCUUUGAGAGAUGACCAGUUACCGUUGGCCUGCAGUCGUAUUCUACUAAGUGUUGGAGCCUCGCUCAUAUCAGUCUGGAGAGAAUAGAUAGCCUUCAAGAUUGCAAGUAGAAAAUCAGAUGGCUUAUUCAUUCGUAUUUGAGGAACUCAGUUGAACGAUGAGAAUCUAAGGAAUUCAUAGAAGGAACUGGGUGAAGAGAAUUUUGAAGAAUAGUAUGAGGACUGUGUCAUGUACAAGUUCAUAAAGUGGAGAUGUGGGAGAAGGAACCCAAAUUCAACCUAAACUUAAGCAGAUGUGAAGUAAAUCCCAAGGAAGAAUUAAGAGUGCAAGGAAAAAGGUAUAACCAUAAGGCAUAUGGGAAUGCUCAAGUUGUUAAGAGAUUAGAAGAUGUAUUAACAGAGAAAGUGUGAAGUCAUCAUACAAGAGUACUUCGUUGGUAAAUCAUGUUUGGUAUAGGCGGACUUGUUGAUUCCUCAGUUACUAGACAGAAGAAGGAAAUCAGAAAGUAAUAGAACAAGACUUGGAUAUGCGAAACUUCAGUGAGAUUGAGUCGUUCAGAAGUUUUUGAAGAGUAUCUCAGAUAGAUAAGAAGGGUAUGGAAUACUGUAAGGGAAAUCAUUCCUGGAAUAAGUGUGUGUGUGUGUAUUUGAGAGUGGCACCCUUGGUCUGAAUCAUGUUAGUGUGAUUGAUCGUGCAUGUUCUUGUUUGAUUGUUGCACGGUUAAUCAAGUUGACAUUGACCAGACUGAAGAUGUUACCUUCACGUAUGGCACAUCACCUGACGUUCCAUAUUUCCAUGUUAUUGAACUGGAGGAAAGCAGAUAGAAAGGUUUCAGAAGUAAUGGUAUUCAGAGAUUCAACGAUGUCAAAGGAAGUAUGUAGACCGCAGUAUAUGAAAGUUAUGUGCGAUGAAGAAUUGGUUAUCGUGAAAGUGUUUGCUCAGAAAAGAAAGAAUUAUUUUAGAAAAGUUGGGGAAAUCCACAAAUCUGUUAUUUGGUAUGUACCGAGUUGUUCAGAAUUGAAAUGGUUAUCUGUUGACCGGAACUUCUUUUAUUUAUGCUAUUGGUGAGCCGAUUUUGCGUAAUCUUAUAUCAGACCCAGUAUGAUAGAACUGCAGAGACAAGAAAACUUGUAACCCUAUUUAGCAUAUCCUAAAGGUCCUUUGCGGAUAGGUGAGCACCAUAUCAGAAGAUUGGAGAAAAGGAAUAAUUUGUAAAAGUUCAAGUAUUUGGGGAACCAUCAGUUGUUUUGACACGGGCAGAUGAGGAUAAGUUCAGAGUUGGUUAUCUUAAACUUCUUGCAGAGACUCCAGUGUUCAGUAAAAGUCUGUACAGCUAUGUUUUGAGAAUUCGGGGACGAAUUCUUAUAAGGGGGGAAGAAUGUAAUAACCCUCACGAGCCAGUUAAUUUUUGGUCGAGAAAAACUCCGCUCGACCAGUUUGGAGUUGGUCGAUCAGAUUUAAAAAUAAAGUCGACCCGGUGAAUUAAUACCUCGACGGGACUUUCUUGUGGUCGAAAGGCCUCUCACUGAUAGUUCUGGUAGAGUGUUAAUAAUGUUGGUCGAAUUUUAUUUAAGCUAGGCAAGCUUAGUUGAAAGCAAGACGAUAUUCGAAGGAUGAGAAAUUUUAGUCGAAAACUGUCCGAAAUUGUCGUUAAAUUUCUUAACUAAAUUCCAACCAGUCUAAUACCUUCACCAGCUAUUCUUCUUGCUUUCUCAGUAAAUCAGUCACAUGAGCUGCACCUACCUGCUUGCUUGCUUCACUAAAGUCACAUGAAAGUCACAAGCUGGUUGCUUGUUUAAUAAAAACAAAAUAAUCUUUCUUCAAAGGAGGCAAAGGACAGCAACUUGCUUUGGUUUAAUAAACCCUCACCUGAAGCAACUUCUUAUGUUAUAAAACACCAUCUUCUCUCCUCUAGACGUUCAUAACCUGCAAGAAAAACCAGAGAAAAAUUCAGAGAGAAAGAGAGAAAGAAGAGAAAAAAAUUUGUGAGAAAAACUAGUUGAAAAAUUCAGAAACAAAAUUCAGAGAAGAGAAUUGAGCAUGUACAAACCUUUCUCACCAUCAUGUGACUUUAUCCAGUGUGUACUGGUGUGGUUAAGAGCUGAAGGUUUGGUGUCCAAGAGUUUAGAAUCACCCAUAUUCUUCAGCCUUUGAUUUUGAUCGGUAAGAUGGUUGUGGAUCAGUUUCUUUGAGAAGUUUUGUUGGUUUGCCUACACUGGAUAUAAAUUCUGAAUAAAUCCAACCAUGGAUUCUUGUGGUAUUGAUCAGGUUAAUUCGUGGUUAACUUGAAGAGAGACAACCAGUCAAGUUUAAUUAGUUGAGUAAAACCGGUAAGCUUCAGCUCUUGAUUCAGCUAUGUUUUGAUGAGAACCAAUUGCUGUAUGUUGGUUAACCUGUCAGGAUCAGUUGUCUAAGGUCUUGUUCUCUUCAGUCUUGGUUGGUUUAUGAUUUAAUCAGUCUCAUAGAACCAGUAGACGAACUGAUAAGAAUUAUGGGAAUUAAACCGAACUGAUUUGAUCUUGUUUAGAACUGAAAUGAGCUGAGUAUGUUCUGAUCUGAUCUGAGCCGAGCUGAACAUGGUAUCAAUCUGUCUUGAACCGAACUGAUAUGAGAGAACUGAACUGAAAUGUUAUGAACUGAGUUGAGUUUCUUCUUGAACCAGACUAGUGAACCCUUAUGUUCCAACUGUUAUGUUUUGAAUUCAGAUGGCCAAGGAGAGUAUUCGAAUCAGCCGGAUCCUUAUGAUGGUUCUGAACCGAGAGUGAUCCAGAAGUGAAGUGUGAUUAGCUUGAGCUCGAGUCUAGUCUUCCUUAGCCAAUCUCAUGGAUUUAAAGGUGAGUCUAGAUGAUGAAUGAAUUAUGAAUGAGUAUGCAUGAUUGCAUAUUGAAUAUUGAAUAUUGAAUAUGGUUGAUUAAUUAAGAAUUAAUCAUGAAUUAAUUAAGGGAUAAUCAUUGAUUAAUUAAGGAUUAAUCAUGGAUUAAUUAAGGAGUAAUUAUGGUUGAUUGAUUAAGUAUUCUCCAUUGAUCUAUAUUUAUAUAUGAAGUAUUUAUCUAGUUUAAAUACUUAAGAAUUAAUAAGAAUAAUUCUUUGAGGUUAUCCCGAGCCUUAGUACUUGUUCUCAAGUACUAAUCUAUAAGUAUUCUAUUAAUAAGUGUGAAUCAUGUGAAGUCUUAUUGUAUACUCACUCUCCCGAAAGUCCCGCAUUACCGUGAAUUGGUCCUGCGAUAUGGAUCAAGGUCAUGAAGACACGAUGAUGGGGUCGCACCCUGGAGGCCGUGUAACUGCAUGCAGCGUUGGAUGUUCUAUCUUGGAAUAUCUGAUGGAGAUGAUGGUUAUAUUUAUUCCCCGUUAGGCUCGGUUAGCCUUGGUGGUUUUCCGGGUUUAGCAUAUAUAUAUAUAUAUAUAUAUAAGAGUAUGAGUGAUUGGCGGGUAUUGUGGAGGUGAUGUUUAAGAUAGAUUCACAUGGAUGGAUUGAGAGGCCUUAUAAUUAUAUUAAUUAUGGAAUAUAAUUCCACUGCAUUCAAAUGGUGUCG
rnacentral:lncRNA from 1 species